GAUUGAUGGUGCUUGCACCUGAUUGACGAUGGAUCACCAGUGAGUGGCGGACGGGUGAGUAACACGUAGGUAACCUGCCCCGGAGCGGGGGAUAACAUUUGGAAACAGAUGCUAAUACCGCAUAACAACAAAAGCCACAUGGCUUUUGUUUGAAAGAUGGCUUUGGCUAUCACUCUGGGAUGGACCUGCGGUGCAUUAGCUAGUUGGUAAGGUAACGGCUUACCAAGGCGAUGAUGCAUAGCCGAGUUGAGAGACUGAUCGGCCACAAUGGAACUGAGACACGGUCCAUACUCCUACGGGAGGCAGCAGUAGGGAAUCUUCCACAAUGGGCGCAAGCCUGAUGGAGCAACACCGCGUGAGUGAAGAAGGGUUUCGGCUCGUAAAGCUCUGUUGUUGGAGAAGAACGUGCGUGAGAGUAACUGUUCACGCAGUGACGGUAUCCAACCAGAAAGUCACGGCUAACUACGUGCCAGCAGCCGCGGUAAUACGUAGGUGGCAAGCGUUAUCCGGAUUUAUUGGGCGUAAAGCGAGCGCAGGCGGUUGCUUAGGUCUGAUGUGAAAGCCUUCGGCUUAACCGAAGAAGUGCAUCGGAAACCGGGCGACUUGAGUGCAGAAGAGGACAGUGGAACUCCAUGUGUAGCGGUGGAAUGCGUAGAUAUAUGGAAGAACACCAGUGGCGAAGGCGGCUGUCUGGUCUGCAACUGACGCUGAGGCUCGAAAGCAUGGGUAGCGAACAGGAUUAGAUACCCUGGUAGUCCAUGCCGUAAACGAUGAGUGCUAGGUGUUGGAGGGUUUCCGCCCUUCAGUGCCGGAGCUAACGCAUUAAGCACUCCGCCUGGGGAGUACGACCGCAAGGUUGAAACUCAAAGGAAUUGACGGGGGCCCGCACAAGCGGUGGAGCAUGUGGUUUAAUUCGAAGCUACGCGAAGAACCUUACCAGGUCUUGACAUCUUGCGCUAACCUUAGAGAUAAGGCGUUCCCUUCGGGGACGCAAUGACAGGUGGUGCAUGGUCGUCGUCAGCUCGUGUCGUGAGAUGUUGGGUUAAGUCCCGCAACGAGCGCAACCCUUGUUACUAGUUGCCAGCAUUAAGUUGGGCACUCUAGUGAGACUGCCGGUGACAAACCGGAGGAAGGUGGGGACGACGUCAGAUCAUCAUGCCCCUUAUGACCUGGGCUACACACGUGCUACAAUGGACGGUACAACGAGUCGCAAGCUCGCGAGAGUAAGCUAAUCUCUUAAAGCCGUUCUCAGUUCGGACUGUAGGCUGCAACUCGCCUACACGAAGUCGGAAUCGCUAGUAAUCGCGGAUCAGCAUGCCGCGGUGAAUACGUUCCCGGGCCUUGUACACACCGCCCGUCACACCAUGGGAGUUUGUAACGCCCAAAGUCGG
rnacentral:rRNA from 1 species